rnacentral:rRNA from 1 species
UUGAACGCUGGCGGCAGGCCUAACACAUGCAAGUCGAACGGUAACAGGAAGCAGCUUGCUGCUUUGCUGACGAGUGGCGGACGGGUGAGUAAUGUCUGGGAAACUGCCUGAUGGAGGGGGAUAACUACUGGAAACGGUAGCUAAUACCGCAUAACGUCGCAAGACCAAAGAGGGGGACCUUAGGGCCUCUUGCCAUCGGAUGUGCCCAGAUGGGAUUAGCUAGUAGGUGGGGUAACGGCUCACCUAGGCGACGAUCCCUAGCUGGUCUGAGAGGAUGACCAGCCACACUGGAACUGAGACACGGUCCAGACUCCUACGGGAGGCAGCAGUGGGGAAUAUUGCACAAUGGGCGCAAGCCUGAUGCAGCCAUGCCGCGUGUAUGAAGAAGGCCUUCGGGUUGUAAAGUACUUUCAGCGGGGAGGAAGGGAGUAAAGUUAAUACCUUUGCUCAUUGACGUUACCCGCAGAAGAAGCACCGGCUAACUCCGUGCCAGCAGCCGCGGUAAUACGGAGGGUGCAAGCGUUAAUCGGAAUUACUGGGCGUAAAGCGCACGCAGGCGGUUUGUUAAGUCAGAUGUGAAAUCCCCGGGCUCAACCUGGGAACUGCAUCUGAUACUGGCAAGCUUGAGUCUCGUAGAGGGGGGUAGAAUUCCAGGUGUAGCGGUGAAAUGCGUAGAGAUCUGGAGGAAUACCGGUGGCGAAGGCGGCCCCCUGGACGAAGACUGACGCUCAGGUGCGAAAGCGUGUGCAGCAAACAGGAUUAGAUAUUCUGGUAGUCCACGCCGUAAACGAUGUCGACUUGGAGGUUGUGCCCUUGAGGCGUGGCUUCCGGAGCUAACGCGUUAAGUCGACCGCCUGGGGAGUACGGCCGCAAGGUUAAAACUCAAAUGAAUUGACGGGGGCCCGCACAAGCGGUGGAGCAUGUGGUUUAAUUCGAUGCAACGCGAAGAACCUUACCUGGUCUUGACAUCCACGGAAGUUUUCAGAGAUGAGAAUGUGCCUUCGGGAACCGUGAGACAGGUGCUGCAUGGCUGUCGUCAGCUCGUGUUGUGAAAUGUUGGGUUAAGUCCCGCAACGAGCGCAACCCUUAUCCUUUGUUGCCAGCGGUCCGGCCGGGAACUCAAAGGAGACUGCCAGUGAUAAACUGGAGGAAGGUGGGGAUGACGUCAAGUCAUCAUGGCCCUUACGACCAGGGCUACACACGUGCUACAAUGGCGCAUACAAAGAGAAGCGACCUCGCGAGAGCAAGCGGACCUCAUAAAGUGCGUCGUAGUCCGGAUUGGAGUCUGCAACUCGACUCCAUGAAGUCGGAAUCGCUAGUAAUCGUGGAUCAGAAUGCCACGGUGAAUACGUUCCCGGGCCUUGUACACACCGCCCGUCACACCAUGGGAGUGGGUUGCAAAAGAAGUAGGUAGCUUAACCUUCGGGAGGGCGCUUACCACUUUGUGAUUCAUGACUGGGGUG